UAACUCCUAAAAACUUUUUAAUUGAAUUAGACAUAACAUUAGGUUUUUAGUAUAUAAGGUGAUCAAACAAUUGUCUACUUGUCACAUAAAAAGGUAGAACACAAUGGCUAAAACUCUCAAGGUUGUUUACACUGUGAUUCUUUUAGUGUCUUUAUUUCUUCUUUUAAUCGCCGCUAGUGGAAAACAAGUAAAAAAGAGUUGUAAGUCACACAAAGAUUGUAAAACACAUCCGUGUCCCCCUUCUAAAGUCAAGCAGUGCGUUAACGGUUAUUGUAGAUGUGUUAGAAUUUAUUGAUGACAAGAAAUCAAUGGAGAUUGUGGAAUAGAGAUCCUUCGUUGAUGACGUGAAGCAGUAAGCAGUUGUGGUUAUCUUACUUCUAAGAAGCAUUAUACAGUAGAAAAAUAAGAGACACAUAUAUUUGUAUAAAAUAAUUAAAUAUAAAUACACUUUUAAUUCUCUAAAGAUUUCAAUUGUUUGAUUUUCGAACGAUUUUUGUACUUUUAUUUU